rnacentral:rRNA from 1 species
UGAGGAACAUGACCUUCGGCGGGGGAUAGCCGGCCCAACGGCCGGGUAAUGCCGCGUACGACCACAUGGGGACAUCCCUGAGUGGUGAAAGCAGCAAUGCGCCGAUGGAGUGCCUCGCGGCCUAUCAGCUAGUUGGUGAGGUAACGGCUCACCAAGGCGACGACGGGUAGCUGGUCUGAGAGGAUGGCCAGCCACAUUGGGACUGAGACACGGCCCAGAUCCCGUACGGGG